rnacentral:rRNA from 1 species
UAAUUUGAGAGUUUGAUCCUGGCUCAGGAUGAACGCUGGCGGCGUGCCUAAUACAUGCAAGUCGAACGAGUUCGCGUUGUUUCUGAAUUGUGCU